UAGAGUUUGAUCAUGGCUCAGGAUGAACGCUAGCGGCAGGCUUAAUACAUGCAAGUCGUACGGCAGCACGGGUAGCAAUACCUGGUGGCGAGUGGCGCACGGGUGCGUAACGCGUAUGCAACCUACCCUUAACAGAGACAUAACCUGGCGAAAGCUGGGCUAAUAUCUCAUGAGGUUAUAGAGGGGCAUCCCUAAAUAAUCAAAGCAGCGAUGUGGUUAAGGAUGGGCAUGCGUCCCAUUAGCUAGUUGGUGAGGUAACGGCUCACCAAGGCGACGAUGGGUAGGGGUUCUGAGAGGAAGGUCCCCCACACUGGUACUGAGACACGGACCAGACUCCUACGGGAGGCAGCAGUAAGGAAUAUUGGGCAAUGGUCGGAAGACUGACCCAGCCAUGCCGCGUGCAGGAAGAAGGCCCUAUGGGUUGUAAACUGCUUUAGCCAGGGGCUAAACCUACCGAUGCGUUGGUAGCUGAAGGUACCUGGAGAAUAAGCAUCGGCUAACUCCGUGCCAGCCGCCGCGGUAAU
rnacentral:rRNA from 1 species